UACAGAGGGUGCAAGCGUUAAUCGGAAUUACUGGGCGUAAAGCGUGCGUAGACGGUUAUGUAAGUCGAGUGUGAAAUCCCCGGGCUCAACCCGGGAACUGCGUCCGAUACUGGCAGGCUUGAAUCCGGGAGAGGGAUGUGGAAUUCCAGGUGUAGCGGUGAAAUGCGUAGAUAUCUGGAGGAACACCGGUGGCGAAGGCGGCAUCCUGGACCGGUAUUGACGCUGAGGCGCGAAAGCCAGGGGAGCAAACGGG
rnacentral:rRNA from 1 species